UGAACGCUGGCGGCGUGCUUAACACAUGCGAAGUCGAACGAGCGAGUUCCCUUCGGGGGACGAAGCGAGUGGCGGACGGGUGAGUAACGCGUGGGUAACCUGCCUCAUACAGGGGGAUAACAGUCAGAAAUGACUGCUAAUACCGCAUAAGCGCACAGUACCGCAUGGUACAGUGUGAAAAGCUCCGGCGGUAUGAGAUGGACCCGCGUUAGAUUAGCCAGUUGGCGGGGUAACGGCCCACCAAAGCGACGAUCUAUAGCCGGCCUGAGAGGGCGACCGGCCACAUUGGGACUGAGACACGGCCCAGACUCCUACGGGAGGCAGCAGUGGGGAAUAUUGCACAAUGGGGGAAACCCUGAUGCAGCGACGCCGCGUGAGUGAUGAAGUAUUUCGGUAUGUAAAGCUCUAUCAGCAGGGAAGAAAAUGACGGUACCUGACUAAGAAGCCCCGGCUAACUACGUGCC
rnacentral:rRNA from 1 species